UACAGAGGUCUCAAGCGUUGUUCGGAUUCAUUGGGCGUAAAGGGUGUGUAGGUGGCGCCGUAAGUCGGGUGUGAAAUUUCGGAGCUUAACUCCGAAACUGCAUUCGAUACUGCGGUGCUUGAGGACUGGAGAGGAGACUGGAAUUCAUGGUGUAGCAGUGAAAUGCGUAGAGAUCAUGAGGAAGACCAGUGGCGAAGGCGGGUCUCUGGACAGUUCCUGACACUGAGUCACGAAGGCCAGGGGAGCAAACGGG
rnacentral:rRNA from 1 species